UCAGAUGCCUAUACAACAGCUUAGCCACUUGCCAAGGAGUCAUCAGCCUUGAUCCUGCUUCUGAAGAUAUCAGAGGGAGUCAUCAGAAGCACGUCCUAAUUAUAUUACCAGCUACUCUCCAAGAAGCUACUCUAAGAGAAAACCUGCAAAGUGCAGCAGUCCCAGAAAAGAAGAUGAAGAUUAAAGAAGAAGGAGGAUAUUUAGAAAUGAUUAAUGUUGUACAAAACCCCAGAUAAGAUGACACAUUUCCGUAGUCUGCAAACUUACCCAUGAAUGUAGGAGAUCCAUAUCUGAGCAGGAAGACUUGAGACGUGUGUGGCGAAUACAAGAGGAGCAGUGGUCCCAGGGUCCAACUUGUGCUAUUUGGAAAUCAAGACAUGUCCAGAGAGGGUUUUCAGGAAAAGGCUUCCAGUGAUGCCACAUCCAAAGCUUAAUUGCUCCACUGAAACACUGGCAACAAAAAUCGUCUUCUCUUCUCCCUUUGUGAAAAAGGCUUUCACUUAAUGUGGAGAAAGGUAUUAUAUACCAGGGAAAUGGAACUUUGUAUAAAUGAUUUUCCCCCAAGAGGAACUAAAGCAUUUGGAAGGUAUCUGAAUUCAGAUGAGGACCUAAUUUAUUACUGAGGACCUAAUCUACGGGAGGUGCAAAGAAGAAUGAAAUAUUGUGUCUGCCUGUGAUGCACAUUGCUUAAUAUGAAUACUAAGAAAAAUAGUCAUCUGUUUCUGUUCCUGUCCCCCUCACUGCAAGGGCACUUCAGGACUGCAGCAAAGGGCAUUUGAUGGAGUCUAUAACAGAAAAGAAAGUCCUCCUCUGGAAUUUCUGACUAUAUUUCAUUGGCCACAACUGGAUUCCAUGGCCACCCCUAACUACUGGGGAGGCUGAGAAUUCAAAUGCUGAAAAUUGCAAUCUCCAUAGUGAAAGACACGAAGAAAGAAAUUGAUUGAAAUGGGUUAAUUAAUUCAAUUAGCAACACUUUUUCUCAGCAAAGGAGCUGAGAAAGAAAAUGUUUUGGUUCAGUCCUGGGUAGGGGUGCUUGACAGUGCUUAAUAUCACCAGCACUGAAGGUAAUAAAUAUUAUCUCUCUUUUCUAUCAUGAAUAUGAAUGAUACUCUGAAGGCUGAAUGCAACCUCAGAAUUUAAGUGAGAAAUGAGGCAUGCAACACUUUUGAAAAUAUAUUAGCCCAAAGUCUGUAUUACUGCAUAUUUUAUUCCCCUUUUAAUAUGCUACAAAAGGUUUGAGCCAUCAGCUGAAUGCUGCCAGAGAAGAACAAACAAGAACAAGAAUGCAAAAAUAAAUGCUGGGAGUCAAGUUUUCCCAAGAUGUUCUUUAUAGUUGGUGUAUGAUCACAUUUCUAAGCAGACUGCUUUGCUUCAAGCUCUACCCAUCAGCACUUCUUCCACAAGCCUGGUUCUCCAGGAAGUUUAUCCCGGGCUAACUAUGCAGAAAUAUACGUGGGGCAAAGUGGGUACUGGAGAAAGCAUUCCAUGAACUCCUUCUUUUGCCCUGCUACCUGAUUCUGUGUAACUUCUUCCAUGCCUGAGAUCUUCUCUUCCAUUUUGAGAACAUGAAGGAAACAUGUUUGCUUAAGUACGUUCUGGUUGGGAAUUAAAUAUUUAAUUCUGAUCAUUUUUAGUGUCUGAAAUAUAUUUCGUAAGCAUGGUCAUAUGAUAAUUAUAACUAUAAAAUGUUUUACAUUCUACAAACUUUAUCCCAUGUUACUAAUAUUCAGGAAAUGAUCAUAGGAAAAUAUUUGCACUAGGAUACUAUUCAUUAUUUUAACUCUUUCUAUUUAUACAUAGUUUUAAGAAAUUCUACAAUGAAUUUAUAUCAUCUUCAUAAUAGGGAACAAAAAUAAACUUCACUUUUUCCAUGAGGCUGUUGUCUUCCAAGACCAUACCUAAGCCAAGUUUGGGUUUAUAAAGUCAAAAUCAUGAGAUAUCCCAUCUGUGAACAAAUACUCAUGGCUAUAAUUUGGACGUUUGUUGUUUCCAAACUUCAUGUUGAAAUUUGACCCUCAAUAUUGGAUGUGGGGUGAUAUGGUUUCAUUGUGUCCUCACAAAAAAUCUCAUCUUGAAUUGUAAUCCCCAUAAUUCCCACGUGUCAAGGGCGGGAUCAGAUGGAGGUAACUGGAUCAUGGAGGCAGUUUCCCCCAUGCUGCUGUCAUAAUAAUGAGUGACUCUCAUGAGAUCUGAUGGUUUUAUAAGCAUCUGGCAUUGCCCUUGCUUGCACUCACUUCAUCCUGCCACCCUGUGAAGAAGGUGCCUGCUUCUCCUUAGCCUUCUGCCAUGGUUGUAAGUUUCCUGAGGCCUCCCCAGCAAGGCAAAACUGUGAGUCAAUUAAACCUCUUUCCUUUAUAAAUUACUUAGCCUCGGGUAUUUCUUCAUAACAUUGUGAGAGAGGACUAAUACAUGGGGCCUAAUGGCAGGUGUUUGGGUUAUGGGGCUGAAUCCUUCUACAAUAGGUUAAUGUUCUCCCUCAGUGGUGAGUUCUCACUCUAUUAGUUCCUGCGAGAGCCAGUUGUUUCAAAGAGCUAGGGGUGCACCUCUCCCUGCCUUGCUUCCUCUUUUGCCUUGGAAUCUCUGGGUCCCCUUCACCUUCAGCCAUGAGUGGAAGCAGCCUGAGACCUUCACCAAAUGCAGAUGCCCAAUCUUGAACUUUCCAGCCAUCAUAAUUGUGACCCAAAUAAACCUUUUUCUUUAUAAACUACCCGGUCUCAAGUAUUUCUUUAUUUUGUUUU
rnacentral:lncRNA from 1 species